rnacentral:rRNA from 1 species
UACGAAGGGGGCUAGCGUUGUUCGGAAUUACUGGGCGUAAAGCGUGCGCAGGCGGUUUGGUAAGACAGAUGUGAAAUCCCCGGGCUUAACCUGGGAAUUGCAUUUGUGACUGCCCGGCUAGAGUGUGUCAGAGGGGGGUAGAAUUCCACGUGUAGCAGUGAAAUGCGUAGAUAUGUGGAGGAAUACCGAUGGCGAAGGCAGCCCCCUGGGAUAACACUGACGCUCAUGCACGAAAGCGUGGGGAGCAAACAGG